rnacentral:sRNA from 1 species
AUACUUACAAAUGGUUAUUCUUAUUCCGACCAAAACAAUUCUAUAAAUUUUCAAACAAUUAAUCUCUUUUUUAUUUUGUACAGCAGAAACUCAAGUGUGAUGAGGAUUCAAGGGAUAUAAGUUAUAACCAAAGUAUGAUUUUGAUUCUGUAAAUGGAAGAGAGAUGGCAUAGAAGAAGAACUGGUAUUUUUCAAGAAGAACCAACAGUUAAUGGAAGGAAGAAGCAUGGAACAGAAGAAAGAUGUGUUUAAACAUGAAGAAACCAAAACCAAAUUAUGAUUAUUUUUUUGCUUAUCUUAUAUAAAGAUUUAUUGUUCAUGUAAAAUAUUUU